UACGGGGGGAGCAAGCGUUGUUCGGAUUUACUGGGCGUAAAGGGCGCGUAGGCGGUCAGCACAAGUCAGUUGUGAAAUCUCCGGGCUUAACCCGGAAAGGUCAACUGAUACUGUGCGACUAGAGUGCGGAAGGGGCAACUGGAAUUCUCGGUGUAGCGGUGAAAUGCGUAGAUAUCGAGAGGAACACCUGCGGCGAAGGCGGGUUGCUGGGCCGACACUGACGCUGAGGAGCGAAAGCGUGGGGAGCGAACAGG
rnacentral:rRNA from 1 species